UACGAAGGGGGCUAGCGUUGCUCGGAAUCACUGGGCGUAAAGCGCACGUAGGCGGCUUCUUAAGUCAGGGGUGAAAUCCUGGAGCUCAACUCCAGAACUGCCUUUGAUACUGAGGAGCUUGAGUCCGGGGGAGGUGAGUGGAACUGCGAGUGUAGAGGUGAAAUUCGUAGAUAUCGGAAGGAACACCAGUGGCGAAAGCGGCUUCCUGGUCCGACACCGACGUUCAGGCACGAAAGCGUGGGGAGCAAACAGG
rnacentral:rRNA from 1 species